CGGCUCAUUGUAAGAAAGCCCAAGAGUAAGCUAUGUGAGGUUGAUGGCGAUGCUUAAAAAGCAAUCGACUUACAAGGGUGUAAAAAUGGGCUCGAUAUUAAAUCGAGAAAAGUAUGAUUUUUAUAGUUUAAAAAAUGGUUUUGAACUAAACUAAAAUACAACAACUAUGCAUUAUUAACAAAUGAAAUCAUGAGUAUAAUAAACAUAAAAAAGAUAUUAAUCAACAUACUAAAAGAAUAAAAAAUGCUAAAGGAAGAUAAAAUCAAAUAAAAAGCAAAAAGUACCACACAUGAGUAUUGAACCCACCCCACUCAAGAAUAUACACACUACCCUUCUCCACUAGACCACUCACCAUUAUCUGCUACUGAAAUACUACGUUAAAUAUAUGAACCGGGCAAAAAAAUAAAAAAAAAUAAAGAGAUUUAAAAUAAAAACAAAAUAAACUUUUUUAUGGUUUUUGUGUUAAAAACAAAAUAAAUGAAAUAAUAAAAGAAAAAUUAAAAAAAAGAAAAAAAGAAAAUGGAAACACAGAGGUUCGUCUUCAUCGCCAUCAUCCUCCCCACCUCACGAACUCAACCUUCCCAAACUCACUCCUUCACUCUCUCUUCUCUCGGUAAUGUUCAUCAACACUCACCAAACUUCACAUUUCUCUCAAUCCCACUCUCGUUCUCAACGAACCCCUCUCAA
rnacentral:lncRNA from 1 species